CCCUCAGUAGCUCAGUGGCAGAGCAUUCGACUGUAGAAUUAGUAGGUAUCGAGCGGUCACAGGUUCGACUCCUGUCUGGGGGA
rfam:Nosema bombycis CQ1 unplaced genomic scaffold NBO_261, whole genome shotgun sequence.